rnacentral:sRNA from 1 species
GAAAAGGUCUAUUUCAUUUUCAAAUCUCAAGAUGUGAACAAAUUUGAAGCCCGUUGGGCAUACUAAGCUUGAAAAUCUUCAAAAACAUGUGAGGGUCGUGAGACACCUCGAGGCAACAUGGCAAACUUUUGAGACACCUUGGGACACUUCCUACUUAAGGUUAUGUGGCCACAUGGUUCGGCUCUUUGAGGCUCGGAAGUAUAGACCCUUUUUCAAGGUAUUAAAUUGAUGGGUGGCUCAUGGAUAAAACUUCAGUGAAAAUGGAACCAUAGACAGAAGGACCCCUAAUGGCAUUUACGAUUUUGUUGUCUAGUCUGGUUCAAUAAAACUUUUAUCUUUUAUACAUACA